UCCUGUGAGAAAUAAGAGCGGGGAGAGGACAGCCGAAGAAUGUUUCCCAAUGAUUGGGUACCUGCCAGGACCCGGCCUGCUGAUCUGAGCCUGUGCCAAGGGUGAUAGGCACAGGCGGCUGCUUACGGUGGGAGAAACAGAAGCUCUGUGUCUCUGGAUUCCGUUUAUCUUCAGGAGACAAAAGAAAUGUCUGGAUUGGAACACUAAAUUUCAAGUGUUAGCUGUAGAUUAUAAACUUGGUAAGAGAAUGGGGACAGUCCUUAGAGAUGGCUUAAAUGGAUCGUAAAUUCUUUGCUAUGAAGUGUUAGGAAUGCCACGUGCUAAUCCAAGAGGAAGGCUUAAGGCCAAGCAGGGAGACUGCCUUGCUCUUUUGCUCUUUUCCAGGACUAGAGGCAAACGGAUGUAAAGCAAAUUCGCCGUACAACAGACUGAGGCCCUUGAGGAGCAGGCUGCAGACUCAGCAGGGAUGAGGCAGAACCUGCUGCUUCUUACUCCAGGAUAAAGAAAAUAGGUAAAAUCUGUUCCCGGUGACAGAGGCCUAAUGUGGUAUGCUGACCUGACCUGUAUCCAGAAGCUGAUAUUAAAACUGCACCCAACGCAAAAAACCAGCCAGAAGAGUAAGUGACUAAGAACUAAAAAUUAGCCAACUGUUUCCCUAGAGCAGGGCUUCUCAAAACUUCUUCCAAUAGCAACAAGGUUUGCCUGAGAAAUAUUUACACAACUCCAAGGAUAUAAAAAACAAUUGUGCAAAUCAAUACUGAUAAUAAAUUGGAAAACGUA